GGAGCUCGAAAGGGUUGCAGUGAAAAGGUGGCUGCGACUGUUUAUUAAAAAACACAGCACUCUGCAAACACGAAAGUGGACGUAUAGGGUGUGACGCCUGCCCGGUGCUGGAAGAUUAAAUGAUGGGGUGCAAGCUCUUGACUGAAGUCCCAGUAAACGGCGGCCGUAACUAUAACGGUCCUAAGGUAGCGAAAUUCCUUGUCGGGUAAGUUCCGACCCGCACGAAUGGCGUAACGAUGGCCACACUGUCUCCUCCUGAGACUCAGCGAAGUUGAAAUGUUUGUGAAGAUGCAAUCUCCCCGCUGCUAGACGGAAAGACCCCGUGAACCUUACUGUAGCUUUGCAUUGGACUUUGAACAGACUUGUGUAGGAUAGGUGGGAGGCUUUGAAGUGGGAACGCCAGUUCUCAUGGAGCCGUCCUUGAAAUACCACCCUGGUGUGUUUGAGGUUCUAACCUAGGUCCGUAAUCCGGAUCGGGGACCGUGCAUGGUAGGCAGUUUGACUGGGGCGGUCUCCUCCCAAGUGUAACGGAGGAGC
rnacentral:rRNA from 1 species